CCUCUCACCCGCUGCAGCUCCUGAUUCUUCUCUUCCAACUGGGCCUCCAGCUGCCGAAGCCGCUCCUCGAAAUUCCCAUGACGUUCCUCGGCCUAGAGGAUGGAACCCAUGGCCUGUGACUUUACCCUUCCAGGAUCAGUCAGGCUCUGAGCCCCACCUCCUCCAAGGAUGGACACCAGGCCCCGCCCCCAAAGCACCAGGCUCCUCCCCUGCACCGCUGAUUCAGGCCCCACCUACGUCUAGUCCACUUUUUCAGGACCUGGUCCUUCCCUCUCAGGUCCCAGGCCACCAGUCCUUUCAGUCCAGGUGAGGAAACUAAAUCUGAGAGAGGAGGAGCCACCCCGCCUGUGGACUGAAUUGAAGUUCCACCAUUCAUGAGCAAUGCACAAGAGAGAGGGCUACGGAAAGGCGAGCGAUGGAAGGCAGCCCACCUCCCUGGGCCUCACCUCCUUGAGGUCGCGCUGCAGCUUGGAGUUGGCUUCCUCCGCCUUGCCCAGCUCGCGGUGCGCAGUGCCCAGCUCCUCCUCCAGCUGGCUCAUCUGACGGCACAACACCGCCAGGCGCUCCCGCAGCUGGCACACCUCGGCGCGCUGCCGCUCCAGGGCCUCCUCCAGUUCUGCUGUGCGCCGGUUGGAAUCCCCGGCAGGACCCAGGCCAUUGGCAAGAGUCUGGAGUGAGGGAAAGAAGGGACAACAUCCCAGAGUGUCUCCCAGAGACACAGAGGGAAUGCAAGGAGAAAGUCAAUCAGCUGAAAGUCGAUCAAAGAUCAAUAAAGAUCAUGCAGGUCAGA